rnacentral:rRNA from 1 species
GGGGAAUUUUGGACAAUGGGCGAAAGCCUGAUCCAGCCAUGCCGCGUGCAGGAUGAAGGCCUUCGGGUUGUAAACUGCUUUUGUACGGAACGAAAAAGUCUUCUCUAAUACAGGGGCGAAUGACGGUACCGUAAGAAUAAGCACCGGCUAACUACGUGCCAGCAGCCGCGGUAAUACGUAGGGUGCAAGCGUUAAUCGGAAUUACUGGGCGUAAAGCGUGCGCAGGCGGUUAUAUAAGACAGAUGUGAAAUCCCCGGGCUCAACCUGGGAACUGCAUUAGUGACUGUAUAGCUAGAGUGCGGCAGAGGGGGAUGGAAUUCCGCGUGUAGCAGUGAAAUGCGUAGAUAUGCGGAGGAACACCGAUGGCGAAGGCAAUCCCCUGGGCCUGCACUGACGCUCAUGCACGAAAGCGUGGGGGGCAAAC